GUCUAACGUUAGUAACUGUUACUUACAUAUAUAAUUUUGCUAAUGGACAUGAUGAUGAACACACGGGACAUCAUGCCUGCACAAAUAAAUGAUGCAGAGUGUAUAAAAAAACAAGACCUUUACAAAUCAAGCUGUUGUUGCCAGCACAAGAUUUUAUGAUCCUGGGAAUUUAAAAGAGCUUCUAAUCGUAUGAAGGAGAUAAAAAAUUGUCAAACCAAAUUAAAGUUUUAAAUAACUUCGCCAUGUAUAAA